rnacentral:rRNA from 1 species
AGAUGCGAUCAUACCAGCACUAAAGCACCGGAUCCCAUUAGAACUCCGAAGUUAAGCGUGCUUGGGCGAGAGUAGUACUAGGAUGGGUGACCUCCUGGGAAGUCCUCGUGUUGCAUUCC